AGAUAAUUAGACUUAUUUGGAAAACCUCCAAGUUUGAAAAGGCAGGUACAGUUCUUUCCAUAAGCCAAAUAAAGCGGCUUUAUAUUUGAUUUUAUUGUAAAAGGAGGUAUUAAAGCUUAUUAACCUCUAAACUUUUCAUUCAAGUUUCCUCGGACAUUUCAAUGUUGAUGAUGUUGGAUGUGAAUUUUGCUGAAUAAAUAUCUCUUUGGUAGAGAAUUAUAAUGUGGCAUUUGAAAUAUUUCCAAGUCAAGUAGCUAUUACCCUUGGCCAUACUGAGAAGCUCCUAAAGACUAAUUCUUGAAAAGUACCUUUAGAUUUCAUGCAUGUGCUUACCAGAUUUCAUGGCUAAUACUAAAGAAAUAUGUUGGUUUGAGAAGAUAUGGUGCAAACAAUGACAUGCAUGUGACUCAGGAUUAAGUCUAGUUCAACUUGGUUGUGCUUGUAAGUACUUCAGCAUGUACAAGGCUUGUUGAUGUAGAAUAUACUCAACU
rnacentral:misc_RNA from 1 species